GGGGCCCGGGGGCAAGAUGGCGGCCUCGCGGCGAGUCUAUAACAGUGGGCAGCUGGCAAAUACAUUUGAGUUCUGAAGCAAACCUUCAGGAGAAGACUCAGAGGGAGGAAAAUCCCAGCUAACAUGAAGUGCACCGGAGUGAUGACGCGUCUGGGCAGCUGGCUCAGCCCAGGCCUGGGAGAGGAGGGUCGGGCUUAGAGAGCACCUCUCCCGUAGCGCGAUGCAGGUCCAUUAAUGAUCCAUGCUCGGCAGCCCUCCUUGCCUCCCGGGGCCUGCACGGCCCCCAGAUCCACCCAGGGAGAUGCGGGCUCACCCCUUGACGUCCCCCCCAGAGCAGAGCUUCGAGCUUCUCUCCCGGGGCAAACGAGCAGAUGGAAUAGCAGCGAUCCGCAGGCUGCCUCACGUCUCUGUCCUGUCUGCUGCCGGGCGGGUUCUGAGUCGUUCCUGAUGCACCUGCAGGUCGCAGAUGUGUGAGCAGAGGAAAACACCCGUGGAACUCCGAGCCAGGGCACGCCGGGGCCAAGGGUGACUGGACUGUCUUCCAAGCAGGCCUCCGGCUCAGAAGACGCUGUCGCGGGAGGAGGGACCCCGCUGCCUCUGGGGCACCCUCAUCUCAAGAUGACGGGAGAGUGGGUACCUGUUGUGGGUAGGAGAGGCUCCAAGAGGCGCACGAGGAAAAGAGACUGGAUUGCUGGCUCGGAAGUUCUCACUUGGGAGACAUACUUGGGGACAUGCAUAAAAUCUCAGAAGAAACCAAGUGUCUGUUAUCAGUGACAAAGACUUCUUUUCAUCUGCACAUGUGGCAAAUACGCAGAAGCCACAGGAGAUGAGCUGCAUCUCCUUCCCUGACAGUGGAGUGGAUCUAAGCUUUGCCUCGUGGGUACACCCUGCCUCCAGGCCUCAGGUUCAGAGAGGCAGGUGGCCAGCCUCUCCUUGGAGGGACCGGUGCAGAAGUGCUGGAAAGGAACGAAGCUGCAGGCCCUAAACACCCAGUGAAGGAGUUCCCGCUGUGCCACAGCAGGUUAAGGACCCGGCCUUGUCUCUGAGGUUGCACAGGUUCAGUCUCUGGCCCUGGCAUGUCGUUGUGCUGCAGGUGCAGCUACAAACGAGAAAACCCAGUCACAGUGAGCGGAGGGCAGGCCCGCCUCGCAUCCUGCUAGGACGUGGGCCUCACGGACGGACCCCUUCUCUUCCAGGGAGAACUUCUGCCACGGUGGUAUCCUGCUGCUGCCGCCCUCGUUCAGCCAAAGACCAGGCCAGGCGACGUCGGCCCUCAGCUCCCGCUUUUUGCUCCUUUGAUCCCCUGCCCCCAGCCCUGCCUUUGGAGUUGAAGUAGGAACCCCACUUCUAAGUGGGAGGGAGGGCUGCUCCCUGCCCCACCGUUCCAGAGUCACUGUGGCUCCCCCAGUGGCGCCUUGGCUCCCUCGCCCUCCUGCACGGUCCCGCCACGGGGUGGGGGGUGGAGGAUGCAAACCCCUCACGGGAGGAUCUAGAGACCCCUUGUAGCUCAGGAAGGCUGCUGGUGGAUGUGUAACUGCCGCCCCUCCCCCCAAAGAGAGAAUGGUAUUUUCCUUAAAGAAAAUGAAAAAAGCGGCUUUUCUUUUUUUUUUUUCCUUUUGGCCAUGCCUGUGGCUUCCACAAGUUCCAGGCCCAGGGAUGGAACCCAAGCCUCAGCAGCAACACCACCAGGUCCUUAGCCCAGUGCACCCCUUGGGAACUCCAAAAAGCCGCUUUUUUCUCUCCAUGGUCAUAACUGGGACCGGUUGAGGCGUGCCCCUGUGGAAGCCAGCGAGCUGGGGCUGUGCUCGAAGCCAGGACACCCCCUGGGGGGAGCCAGCCCCGGAGCCUGACCUGUGUGUCCGCAUGGCCUGUUGUCCGGCCCCAAGGUGGGCCCCUGGGCAGGGUUGUCAGCUGGGCUAGAGUCCUUAACUGCCGGCCAGCUCUCGUCGCUCCCUCUGCAGGCGCUGCUCCAUCUGAGUGGGGCGUGUUACUCUCUUUACUUCCUGGCCACGCUCCUGCUGAUCGCGUAUAAAAGUAAGUCACGCUCGAAAAGCCAGCUCGGGGUGCGGGUGCCCUGCCUCCCGUGACGGGAGCUCGGUCUCCCAUUGUUCUCAGGCCAAGUUUUCACCUAUCCUCACGGCUUCCUGGUCCUUGACCUGACUCUGCUCUUCCUGAUGGGGAUUCUGGAAGCAACGCGGCUGUACCUCGGUGAGUUCUCUGAAAAGCACGUGGCACUUGGAGCGACAGGAUCGCCAGCUUUACGUGUGAACCUUUAAGCAUCUGUCACUUGGAACACGGUUCUUAGAAACACGUGAUGUAGCCUCGCCUCACAGGGUCUUUCCGUCUGUCUGUCCCUCUUUGUCCACAAGACAGUCUCGGCAGCAUCCUUGGCGGAGGUGCUUCCCGUGUGUACAUGCUGCCGGGUAACGGGCAGCACCAAGACUAGACCGCAGCUCCGCCAUCAACUCUGGAGCCCCCAGAGAGUCACCUCACUCCUCCUGCCUCUUCUGUUGGCCGCAGGGUCAAGAGGAGAAGGAUCUGGGGAGGCCCCAUCGUGGCGCAGACACAAACCCCAUUAGGGAUCCAUGAGGAUGAGGGUUCGAUCCCUGGCCUCGCUCAGUGGGUUAAGGAUCCGGCGUUGCCAUGAGCUGCGGUGUAGGUCGCAGACGCGGCUCAGACCCCACGUGGCUGUGGCUGUGGUGUAGGCCGGCGGCUGCAGCUCCGAUUGGACCCCUGGCCUGGGAACCUCCCUCUGCCGGGGGUGCGCUUAGAAAAAAUCAGGAAUGUUACAGCCUCAGUACAGACAACACGCUCCUCCUUGCAUUUGCCUUCUGACACGCUCAGAGCCCGCGCGGUGGCCACAGCAGCUUUUCCGUGGAAGUCCUCGAGUGUCGUGGGGUGCUAGUGAGCUGGCCCUGGUCCCCCGGUCAAGUCUCCAGAGCCCUCGCCAGCACAGGCUCCCAAAGGCAGCACUCACCCGUCCUGUCUGUUCUCUCCAGGCACCAAGGGCAACCUGACGGAGGCCGAGGUGCCGCUGGCCGCCAGCCUGGUCCUGACUGUGGGCGGCACCCUGCUGGCCAUCUACUUCCUGCUCUGGCAGACCCUGGUGCUGCGGGCAGACUGGGUCCUUGGCGCCACGCUCCUGGUGCUCCAUGGCCUGGAGGCCGUCCUGCAGGUGGUGGCCAUCGCCGGCUUUGUCAGCUAGGCCCCUGCGGCAGCCCCGGCCAGGAGCCCUUCCUGAGGGUGAGACGGCCUGCCAGCCGUUGCCCAGGGGGAGGGCGUCCUUCUGCUGAUGCGCCAUGACCUUGGAGGGCCUGGCGGCUUGGGUGAUCUCUGAGUCCUUGAGGCGGAGAUGGGCUCAGGAGCCAGGGCAGAGCAAAAUGCUGGGGCAGGCGGGGGCCCAGCGGAAGCCGGGACUGCCCGGGCGUCCUCCUCAGGAAGCGCAGGCCCCGCUUGGCUGGCAGGACCUCCAUUCAGCAACCGCCCUGCCCCCUGGGCCGGAAGGCAGCGAGGGGCCGGGGACGAGCCCCGGGCAGACGCUGCUCUGCCUCUUCCACGAGAGAGUAAUGCCAGAGAGCCAGGGCUUCUUCCCCCCGGGGACACAGGAAAGGCGAGCUUGAAGCGCCAGUGCCCAGGGGACAGAGCGCCUCCCUCAGCAGGACGUUGGCCCUGGGCACCGGGGACUUCGCCAGGGGGACCUUUGCCCACUCACAGACCCACUCCAGUGCCUCUGGAAGAAACCUGAGCUGAUGUUUUCUGGCAACUUUCAUUUGUUUCAGUUGUACAUUUUCUGUGUUUGGAAUAAUACCGUGUUUGAAUAUCUAGACAUUUUCUCUUCACUGUAGUUUUUAAAUAAAGCGUUUAUCCUUCCCUGAA
ensembl:lncRNA